UGCAGCAGUGGGGAAUAUUGGGCAAUGGAGGAAACUCUGACCCAGCGACGCCGCGUGCGGGAUGAAGGCCUUCGGGUUGUAAACCGCUUUCAGUAGGGAAGAAGCGAAAGUGACGGUACCUACAAAAGAAGCACCGGCUAACUAUGUGCCAGCAGCCGCGGUAAUACAUAGGGUGCAAGCGUUGUCCGGAAUUAUUGGGCGUAAAGAGCUCGUAGGUCGUUUGUUACGUCGGAUGUGAAAACCUGAGGCUCAACCUCAGGCCUGCAUUCGAUACGGGCAAACUAGAGUUUGGUAGGGGAGACUGGAAUUCCUGGUGUAGCGGUGGAAUGCGCAGAUAUCAGGAGGAACACCAAUGGCGAAGGCAGGUCUCUGGGCCAAUACUGACACUGAGGAGCGAAAGUCUGGGGAGCGAA
rnacentral:rRNA from 1 species